CAGUCGCCGCGGUGAUACGUAGGUGGCAAGCGUUGUCCGGAAUUAUUGGGCGUAAAGGGCUCGCAGGCGGUUUCUUAAGUCUGAUGUGAAAGCCCCCGGCUCAACCGGGGAGGGUCAUUGGAAACUGGGAAACUUGAGUGCAGAAGAGGAGAGUGGAAUUCCACGUGUAGCGGUGAAAUGCGUAGAGAUGUGGAGGAACACCAGUGGCGAAGGCGACUCUCUGGUCUGUAACUGACGCUGAGGAGCGAAAGCGUGGGGAGCGAACAGGAUUAGAUACCCCUGUAGUCCCUGUCUCUUAUAC
rnacentral:rRNA from 1 species